ACUUGCACUGGCAUCUCUGAGAGAAAAGGAAGGUCAUGACUGCCCAAGUCUUGCCUGCUGAGACCUAUCGUCAGAUUUGUAGCAGGCUGGGGGUGGUGUUCCUCUUCUGUCUUUUUUUUUUUUUUUUUUUUUUUAGGAUCCUGGGACCUCUGGGGACAGAUCAGAGUCUCCGUGCAUCAUCUGAAAGUCCCUCAGCAGGAAGGAAAUGUGUGAAGUCUUCCUAGAGUCACAAAAUCCUAGCCAUGGUGUCUUAGUGGGGACAAAUUCAUAGUGAGCUUCCUCUCCUGCCCCAAACUCAGAACCUCUGUCCUGACGUCUUUGGUCAUACACUAGAGUUGUGUGCUCUUGAACUUUGUCUUAGCAAAGUCACAUGACUUUAUAAAACAUGUGAUUGUUAAUAGCUUCCUCUUUUUUCAUUACUGAGCAAUGCUCCAAGGUGUGACCAGCAAGCUGUGAAUCCAUUCACCACCCCUAAUCAUGCAGCCUCCUGGUCCAUUCACCACAAUGAUCAUUCAGGAGGCUUCUAGCCCUUUCAAGACCUAUCAUGACCUGUGACCAUGCCGACUUCUGGUGUUUGGUGUUCAUGAAUUACACCUUCUGGUGGUGUCUGCGGUUCUUCUAUUUCCCUUGGGUAAAUACUUAUGAGUGAACUUGCUAAGUCAAAAAGUAAGUACUUUUUGUUUCUUAUUAUUUUAUUUUAAAUGUCUCUGCAUUACUCAGGCUCCAGCCCACAUCCCUGAAUAUCAUCUACCACCAGUACUCAUGUUUAUUGUUUUUAAAAAGAUUCAUUUGUUUUGUUUUAGUGUGUGUAUGUGCAUGUGUUUGUGUGCAUGUGUGUGCAUGUGUGUGUGCGUGUGUGUGUGUGUGUGUGCUUGCGCAUCUGAUCCUCUGGAGCUGGAGUUUACAGGAGCACCUGGUGUACUCACGGAAUCAAACUGUUAAUAUGGAAGAGCACUAGGCACUCCUAAUCACUGACCCACCUCCAGCCCCUAUGUUUGACUUUUAAAGUAAGUUUCAAGGGCUGAGGAGAUGGCUCAGUGGUUAAGAGCACUGACUGAUCUUUUGAAGGACUCAAGUUCAGUUAGAAGCACCCAUGUGGUGGUUCAGUCACCCAAGACUCCAGUUCCAGGGGAUCUGGUGCCCUCUUCUGGCCUCUCUGAGAAUCUGCAGUCAUGUGCACCUUUCCCACACAGACACACAACUUUAAAUAAUUAAAUGUAUAUAUAUAUAUAUAUAUGUGUGUGUGUGUGUGUGUGUGUGUGUGUGUAUAAAAUUUGGGAUAUAUAAAUUAUGUAGAUAUAGAUCUCAAAUCAUUAUAUUUACAGUCACAUCAAUAAAGUGCUCUCUGGUUUGCUCUACAUCCUUGUCAACACUUAAUACUGCUGUUCUUUUUAAUUUCAGCUAUUCUAUUGGGUACACUGGUACUUCGUUUGACUCUGAUUGGUGAUUUGCUAACGCUGCUGGUCAUUCUUUCCUAUGAUUGGGGAGCAUCUCUGUAUUUCCUCUUGUGACCUGGUAUUUCCUAUUUUGGUUGCCUUUCUGACUUUGCUCUUGGUCAUGGGACAUAUUACACACAAAGAACAAAAGCCCAAGUCUGAGAGAUGGCUCGGUGGGUAAAGUGCUUGCCACGAAAACCUCGUGAGCUGAGUUUGGAUCAAUAGAACUUACGUAGAGCUGGACACAGUAAGAUACACACAUGGCAUCAAGCAUUCCUAUGGUGACAUGGGAGGCAGGCAGGCUUGCAGGCCAGGUAGCCUGGCAGACACAGCCGAGGACAAGAGACUGCCUGGAGCCAGGCGAGGACUCCUGAGAUGCCCUUCUGCAUGCACACGCCUGAACUCACACCCACUGUGUGUACAGAAGGAACGAGAGCCCUCUGUUAGAUGUGAAAACGGAAUCCUUACAAUUCUAGCAUGCCAGUGUUUUCCCAUCCUUUCGAUAAACAAGUUUUAACUG
ensembl:lincRNA predicted gene 13404